AUGUAUCACUGUGCCGGUCCCACGGUGAAGCCCUCCGUGUCUCUGCUCCGCCCCUCCUCUCUGCAGCUGUAUGAGGGCUCCGCCUCUCUGCUCUGCCUGCUGUCUGGCUACUCUCCACAGGGGGCGCUGGUCAGCUGGACGGUGGACGGCUCAGAGGUGAAGAACGGGGUUCUGACCAGUGCAGAAGAAGAGAAGAACGGCCGCUACAGCCGCAGCAGCACCCUGACCCUCAGCAAAGCACUCUGGGAAAAGGGGGAGGAGUUUACCUGCACCGUCUCCCACGACAACGCGGUUCAGCCAAUCAGGUUGAGGAAGAGCGAGUGUGAAGGCUAG